AUUGAACGCUGGCGGCAGGCCUAACACAUGCAAGUCGAGCGGAGCGGCGGACGAGUGUGUAACGCCUAGGAAUCUGCCUGGUAGUGGGGGAUAACGUCCGGAAACGGGCGCUACUACCGCAUACUAUCAGAUGAGCCUAUGUCGGAUUAGCUAGUUGGUGGGGUAAAGGCCUACCAAGACGACGAUCCGCAACUGGUCUGAGAGGAUGAUCAAUCACACUGGAACUGAGACACUGUCCAGACACCUACGUGAGGCAGCCGUGGGGAAUAUUGGACAAUGGGCGAAAGCCUUAUCCAGCCAUGCCGCUUGUGUGAAGAAGGUCUUCGGAUUGUAAAGCACUUUAAGUUGGGAGGCGUUAUCAACAGAGUAAGCACCGGCUAACUUCGUGCCAGCAGCCGCGGUAAUUC
rnacentral:rRNA from 1 species